ensembl:lncRNA
AUGACCUCAACAGACCUCAGGGUCUGGCUGAAGCCAGGAACUGUAUCCGGGUCCCCACAUGUGGGUGCAGGAGCCCAAGCACUGGGGCCAUCUUCUGCUGCUCUCCCCGGGGCGCAUCAGCAGGGAGCUGGAUUGGAAGUGGAGCAGCUGGGACUCGAACCUGGGGUGCCAGCAUCACAGGCAACAGCUUACCCCGCGAUGCCACAAAACAUAGUUAUGUUUUCUAAGGGGUCUCCAAGUCUCCCGCUUGGAACCGUGGGUUCCUGGAAAAGUGAGUCAGCCCUCGGGGCGUCUCAGGGCAGCAGAUCUGCAGGAGACGGGACCCGCACUCCCAGGGGCCAGCACUGGGGGCGCUGUCGCUUGCUGUGGGAGGCCUCUGAUGGGAGCCACUGUUGGGGACUACUGCGCUGCUGGCUAGGGGCUCGCAUCCCACACAGCAGCUCCUGGGUUCGAUUCCCGACUGCAGCUCCACUCUGCUUCCCUGCUAAUGCAGACCCUUGGAGGCAGCGGCCAUGGCUCAAGGGACUGGACUCUGCCACCCACGGGGAGGCCCGGAUCGGAGCUUCCAGGGGUGCGGGCACUCGGGGAGUGGGACAGUGGGUGGGAGUCCUUGCUCUCUCUCUCCCGGUCUCUGAAAUUGGUAAAUCAAUUUUAAAACUCAUUCUGGAUUUUGAUCGUGUUCGGUGGAAGCCAGGUCUACAACUGCGCCGACCUUUAGUGUCCUCUCAGAACGGGAACAACAAGCUUGGCUCCACGCCUGCAGAAACAGAGCCGCCACGCAGGUGUGGGGGAGCAGGACAGGACCGCGCGGGCCCGAGUUACGGUGCCUGUGGCGGCGGGGGUCGGUUCAUGAAAAGUCGUCUCCCUGAGUCCUACUCCCAGACGCUGCGUUUCAAGGCGCCCCCAGAUCGCAGCUCUGAAGACCGUGUGGGGAGCAGCAGUGCCCCUGAAGCCCCAGGGAGCAGCCACAGGAGGCCCGAGAAGCAGUGUGCCGUCUCCUACGACCCCUCGGAAGAGGAGCUGAUGGCCAGCAUCGAGCGGGAGUACUGCCCAGAGGGUCCCCCCGAGCAGGCCUCGGGGCAGCCAGCCUGACUCAGGCCCCGGGGACUUUCCGGACUUCUUCCCUGGGUGGAAGCGGAGCAAGUCACUUCGUGGGUGACAAAUACGAAAGUGGACUUGCCAAGGACGUCCUGUGAGUGGGAGGCAGGGCCAGUGGCAGAGGUGGCCUGCCGGGGACAGUUGCCAUGGAGACCAGGAGGCGGCUCAUCCCAAGCAGCUGGUGAGACUGUCAGUACACGAGGGGGUAAUGAGGGAACCAGGCCAGCUGUCGCUGAAGCCAGAGCAGGUGCUGGCUUCUCCCGCGCCCUCCCAGCGGCACGGCGGCCUCCCCAAACACCCUCGGUCUCCUGGGCACGGUUGCCCGCCCACGCGUCCUUGGCCAGGGGCAGGAGCACCUCAGGAGCUCCCGGCGACCGCUUGGCCCUGUCUCCAGGCCCGCUGACGUCACCGGCAGCCGGGCAUCGCCAUGAAAUUUCGUUACUUGACAACAGUGCCUUUGAUGGGCUGACGGCAGCUGGAGCCUGUGGCUGCGAAGUGCGAGCCUGGAGCAGCCGGCCGCCGGCUCAGCCCCCAGCGCCCCCAGACCAAAGCCCCUCUGCUGGCGCACUGACGAAAACCAUUGCUCUCGUUAUGCGAAUACUUAUUGUAAAAGAGAUUAAAAUUUUAUUUCUUAUUGGAUCAGGCUUUGCACUUAAUGAUGCCACUGUUUACAAUUUUUUAACAAUUUAUUUAUUUGAACGGCAGAGUGACAGAGAUGGAGAGACAGAGAGAAAGAAAUCCUCCACCUGCUGGUUCACCCCCAAAGUGGCCACGACAGCCAGGGCUGGGCCAGGCUGAAGCCAGGCGCCAGGAGCUUCAUGCAGGUCUCCCACGUGGGUACAGGGGUCCAAGCACUUGGGCGUCUCCCGCUGUUUUCCCAGGAGCAUCAGCAGGGAGCUGGGUUGGACGGCGUGGGCUGCGGCUGGCCCCGGGGCAGCAGGGAGCACACACAGCUGUGCGUCCCGGCGGCAUCCCGUGACGGGCUGUGCUGGCU